UGUACUUAGGCGGUUGGCCUAAGGUACCUGGAUUUAUUUCGGGAACUUUGGGUUAGUCGUUUAUGUACACAUUGUGGCUUCUCGGUUUGGUUUCAGUUACGAGUGAUCGGCUGUGCAUGUUAUUGUUUGAUUGUUGCACGGCUGGUCGAGUCAACUUAUACUUAGACCAGAUCAGGGGUGUCACAAAGGUCCUCGAGAUCACUCCUAGAAAAGUGGAGAAAAAGAUCUCCAACGAAGAUACGCGAAGUCAGGAUUCAGCGGAACUCUUCUGGCAGUCUCGUAACAU
rnacentral:lncRNA from 1 species